GCACGGGACAUCGUGGUAGAUGAGGGACUUUUGCCACAGGUGAAGUCUCUGUAGGGCAAUUCUGGCUCCCCUGAGUUCUCAGCCUCACGUUUGCCGAGCUGGGGAAUAGAGUGUUACCUCCGGUUGUAUAAAACUGCGAGGGAGUUCCGCAAGAUUCGGGAGUUCUUUUGUUUGACCAAAGAAGCAGCGGGUUUUGUUGGACAGUCCUAGUUAUUUGGUGCAGAUCAUCGUUUUGGUUUUAGCUACAGUUAGUCAGGCAAAUGGAAAACCUGUGGUUUCUUCUCAGGACUUAAAAAAAAAAAGUCUGUGAAGGAUCAUCUUCCGGGAUUGCUCCCAGUCCUCAGCUCAUCUUCAACUUCAGGACUGGCAAAACUACAUCACCUUGCAGUCAGUUGUCAGUAAUUACCUGUACCAUGCAUUGCUGCUUCUCUGCAUCUCUGAAGCUAAUCCAGACAGGACCCUCUGGAUCCUGCUUUUAAUCCUUAUUGAUAAGAGUCAUUUGCCUGCCUUCCAGCUCUCUGCUAGACAUUCCCAUAGAGACAGUAACAGCAAUUAACUUGGAAGACCUAAGGACACCCGAGUACCCUUUGGAACUGUUUUUGAUGUUAUUGUAUUGUUAAAAGUCCCUGGCUGGUGGAGGCAAUAAAGAACAUCGCAGUGCCUGGAAUGAGGUCAGUCCUUAUCGGACACGACGCUUUGCUGUUCAUCAGAGGGAAGUUGUGUCUAAGCGUUCGCUCUUGGGCAAACCACGGGGUGUUUUCAUUACUAGGUUGUUUCAAUUUCACAGAAUUGUUAUGAGGAAGAAACCCCGAGCCAAGGAAGGUGGAUAAGGCAGAGCCUGAUAGGAAAAGGAAUAAACCAGCUCUGGGUGUUCAGGACAGACAAUUCCUCGGGUAGUGCAGGAAGUGUGACUGAUCCGUUAGAUGGCUACCAUGAAGCUGACAUAUAAAGUAUUGAUUGCUUAGAAGUCUAAAACAGUGAAACAAUUGGUCUUCCAAAAAAUUUUUUUAAUUUAUUUUAUGAACGAGUUCAAAAUUAUUUUGUUCUUUAAUGCCAGACCAUUUUUCAGCAUCUUGUCAAGAAAAGGAAAAUAGAAAAGGUCUAAUUUUAAGCUCUCAAAACAGGGAGCGCUGUUUUGAGCACUCAAAAACUUCAUAAGCCCCAUUAUAUCCUUCUAGAGGGACCUCAAAAUUCCUGAUACUUAUCCCUUUAGGCAUACAGUCUUCACAGCUCCCCCAAGCCAAAUCCCCAUGCAAGACUUGGGCAGAAAACCAAACCCAUCAGACUAAUAAAGAGACUGCACUGUAUCGUUCCUUCUGCUGACUCAAGGUUUAUGAUGGCUGAGCUCAUCAUGAAGAAAUGUGAGAGAGAAAAUGGUGAUUCCUGUCAAAAACCAGCUCAUGGGCAGAGCCUCAUCGUAGACUCAGCAGUCUGGAGAGAGAAUGCAUCUCUGAAGGAACAAUGUCCAUGAGCAAUCGGAUUGUUAGUCCAGAAAAAUCAAGGAAGAGUGGACUAACUAAUUAUUUUUUCUUGAUCUGUGGUCAAACAGAUGUAGAAGGGACUAUAUCUAUGGGAUAAGGCUUCAUGAAUCACCAUUAUUUAGUAAUUGCUGACCUGGAACACUUGCCAAAACCCACAAACCACUCAGUACGUUGCAGUUUGUGAGACCUUAUGAGCCAAGUAAUAUUUUAGAGUUCCUGAAGCUAUUACCCACCUUUGCAGGAAGAGAGAGAUUUUGAAAGUUGAAGAAUCGUUUAUAACACAGUGGCGAGGCUAUCAUGAGACAACUUGUAAAUUAUAUCCAGUGCCAAAAUCCAGUUGGACUGCAAUGGCAUUCCGGUGCCCAGGAGCAGUGCUGAGUACCCACACAUGUGAAUGGCAAAGUGAGCGUGUGCACUUUGUGUCUUUCUUGGAUCAGCUGCUGUGUUUGGUAUCAAGCCUUGUAAAGUGCUGCUGUAGAACUAGUUCGAACAAACCCUCACUUAGCAGAUUUUCUCCUCCAGCCUUGUCCCUUCAGCAGAUUACUCGGAUUUCUUUAAGACAUAAAGACCAUUUUAAAGUAAGGCUGUAGUGUAAGUGCCAGCUGUUGUUAAACACUGGGUUUCAUUAGCACACUGUAAAAAAGGUCUAAGCUGUAAAUGGUACCAUAAAUAUGAAAACUGUUGUUAACAGCAGCUAAACUUUCAGGAGAUAAACUUUCAGGAGAUGAUUUAACAGUAAUAAUUACUGUUAAUUAAGCAAAAUCACAAAUCUGAAAAUUAUCAUUCAGUUUCAUGGACUUUGCCCUAUCAUCAUCAGUGACCAGGCCUGACUCUGUCUGUAGCAGGUCUGCAGCAGAGCCAGGACUUGUAACCAGAUCUUGCACAUUCCAGGUCUGAGCAACAUAUCUUCAGUUUAUUUAUUUUUCAUCUGUGACAUACUUCUUUCUUUAGCUUGAACCCAUUUUUAAAAGCUAAUUAAACCUUAAUGAGAAAUCCUGUAAUUUACAUACAUUUUGUGGCUUAGAAUCUUCUGAAGGGAUCUGGAAUCAGCUCAGAUUUUCUUAGCAGUAAGGAUCUUGGCAAUUUUCUACCUUUGUACUAAUUUCCAUGAUUCUAUCACUUUUGUUUCUGAACACUUCACAACAGUCUUUAAAUACCAUUAUAAUCACCAUGUGUGAAGUAUAAGUGUAUUUAUCAACAGGUGGCAAACUAUGGCAUGAAGAUGUUUGAGCUCAGUGGUGUAACUGGUCCUGUGCAAAAGUUGUGUCUGCUCUGAAAACUGAUGAUAAUUUUGUAGUUCUGUCCUCUUGAACACCAUAUGGAGAUUCUGUAGUGAUCAUAAAUACAUGUAUUUUUAUUCCCCAACUUUACCAUUUCAAACAUGAGCAUGUUGAACUGUGCUUCCUGCUCUUGUCCUCAUAGAUUAUAAAAGGAUUUUCUGUUUCUAUUUGUUUGUGUGUGUGUUUGGAUGCAAUUUUAAUUCUCUCAUUCCCUAUUAUGUUGGACAUCUGCAAGGAAAAUUAUGUGAAAAUUUCAGGCCCCUAAUGAAUGAGUUGCAAAGCAAUGAAUGCUUCUACUUAUAGAAGGAAUGUAUUGCAUAAAGUGCAAUAGUGAGCUGGGUUAAAAAGUUGUUUUACUGUGAAUUUUACCUGUACUUGCACAUAUAUUUCAAGACAGAUUUUUUUUUUAAGGGUCCAGAGAUUCCCAGUAGCCUCUGCCUCCUCUCUGAUAAACUAACUUCAAGAUUCUUAUAAUUCUAAGGAAAGGGUCAAAAAAAGGGGCAGAGCAGAGCUGGUUGUGUCUGAGCUUCUUUUUAAGAAAAUCCCUACUCUUAUCCCCUGUGUUGGAGGGUCAGAGUGGCUUUGUGUCUUGCACUUGGCUGGCUGUGCUUGUAAAUACUUGGGUAUUGCCACAUAUCAUCAUUACUGGAGCUUUUACUUGUUAAAGAAACUUCUGCUGCCCGAUCUUCUGUUACUUUAUGCCCAUAAUUUACAGAUACAAUAUAACAUAUAUUCACUCUAA